UUGGGAAUCUUCGGCAAUGGACGAAAGUCUGACCGAGCAACGCCGCGUGAGUGAAGAAGGAUUUCGGAUCGUAAAACUCUGUUGUUAGAGAAGAACAAGGACGUUAGUAACUGAACGUCCCUUGGCGGUAUCUAACCAGAAAGCCACGGCUAACUACGUGCCAGCAGCCGCGGUAAUACGUAGGUGGCAAGCGUUGUCCGGACGUAUUGGGCGUAAAGCGAGAGCAGGAGGUUUCUUAAGUCUGAUGUGAAAGCCCCCGGCUCAACCGGGGAGGGUCAUUGGAAACGGGGAGACUUGAGUGCAGAAGAGUAGAGUGGAAUUCCAUGUGUAGCGGUGAAAUGCGUAGAUAUUUGGAGGAACACCAGUGGCGAAGGCGGCUCUAUAGUCUGUAUCUUACGCUGGGGCUCGAAAGCAUGGGGAGCAAACAGG
rnacentral:rRNA from 1 species